AAUUUUCAUGAAUUUAAAAUAUAACAUUUAUCAUUUUAUUUUUAAAUCGUAACUAUAUCAUAUAAGGUUAACAAAAUAAAAAAUAAAAAAUAAAAAGUAAAAUCUCAGUUUUACUGAUGUAAUACAUUGAUUUUAAUCAAAAUAAUAUUGGAAUCAGCAUGUACUUUAAAAAUCUCUAUUAUGCACUGACCUUUGAAGUAGAGCAUUUAGUGAUUUAUUUAUUUAUUUAUUUAUUUAUUUUUCCAAAAUCCCA
rnacentral:lncRNA from 1 species